rnacentral:lncRNA from 1 species
CUGCCAUGUCAUGAGGAUCCUCAAAGAGCCCAUUAGAAUGCCUACGUAGAGAAAAAGCCUUCAACUAAUAACCAGCACCAACAUGGCAGCCAUGUGAGCAAGCCAACUGGGAAGUGCACCCUGAGGACAUAAUCAAGCUCUCAGAGUACUUCAGCUAAGGCUGAUGACUUGACUGCAACUAACUGAGACAUGUUGAGCCUGAACUCCCAGUCAAGAUGCUACCAAACUCUUGGCCCAUAGAAAAGCAUGAGCCCAUAGAGAAGCCAUCCACUUUACCAGGCAUGAGUGGAAGAAACAGCAACGAAUCCUAAUACUUGCAGGAAAACUGAGUGUGUUGGAGUUUUUUAAAGAAAAAAUUCUCAGAGUUCCACAGUUGCAUUGAAAACUAAUAG